GUUGUCGUAUCGCAUGUUCAGUACGUUUAUUAAUAAGCGGAAUUUACAGAACUUUCUUCCGAUAUUUAAGAAGGAGGUUUCGUGUUGGGAUGACAAUCCUUUCCGAUAGCAAGCAUGAUCGGGGUAUUCUCCAAGCCAAGUACAGACUAAUGAAAAGAAAAGAAAUCAUAAAAAGCUUGAAGGACACUUAGAGAGACGCCUAGCUGUCUAAGGAGACAGGUAAUUAAGACUCAUUGGAUACAACCCACAA